UACGAAGGGGGCUAGCGUUGUUCGGAUUUACUGGGCGUAAAGCGCACGUAGGCGGAUUGUUAAGUGAGGGGUGAAAUCCCAGGGCUCAACCCUGGAACUGCCUUUCAUACUGGCAAUCUCGAGUCCGGAAGAGGUGAGUGGAACUCCUAGUGUAGAGGUGGAAUUCGUAGAUAUUGGGAAGAACACCGGUGGCGAAGGCGGCUCACUGGCUCAUUACUGACGCUCAGGCGCGAUAGCGUGGGGAUCAAACAGG
rnacentral:rRNA from 1 species